UACGAAGGGGGGCUAGCGUUGCUCGGAAUCACUGGGCGUAAAGCGCGCGUAGGCGGCUUUGUAAGUUAGAGGUGAAAAGCCCCGGAGCUCAACUCCGGAACUGCCUUUAAAAACUGCAUCGCUUGAAUCCAGGAGAGGUGAGUGGAAUUCCGAGUGUAGAGGUGAAAAUUCGUAGAUAUUCGGAAGAACACCAGUGGCGAAGGCGGCUCACUGGACUGGUAUUGACGCUGAGGCGCGAAAAGCGUGGGGGAGCAAACGGG
rnacentral:rRNA from 1 species